GAUGAACGCUGGCGGCGUGCCUAAUACAUGCAAGUCGAGCGAACAGACGAGGAGCUUGCUCCUCUGACGUUAGCGGCGGACGGGUGAGUAACACGUGGAUAACCUACCUAUAAGACUGGGAUAACUUCGGGAAACCGGAGCUAAUACCGGAUAAUAUAUUGAACCGCAUGGUUCAAUAGUGAAAGACGGUUUUGCUGUCACUUAUAGAUGGAUCCGCGCCGCAUUAGCUAGUUGGUAAGGUAACGGCUUACCAAGGCAACGAUGCGUAGCCGACCUGAGAGGGUGAUCGGCCAAAAUGGAACUGAGAAACGGGCCAAAAUCCUAAGGGAGGCAGGAAUAGGGAAACUUCCGCAAUGGGCGAAAGCUUGACGGAGCAACGCCGCGUGAGUGAUGAAGGUCUUCGGAUCGUAAAACUCUGUUAUUAGGGAAGAACAAAUGUGUAAGUAACUAUGCACGUCUUGACGGUACCUAAUCAGAAAGCCACGGCUAACUACGUG
rnacentral:rRNA from 1 species